rnacentral:lncRNA from 1 species
UUUGUUGCAAUAGGAACUACCUCAACUUUGUACAUAAUGCAUUUAUUCUUAAUCAUAUCUUGUCUAGUUUGUCCACUCAUCAAACAUAAUAUAUUCAUCUUUGCUACAUUGAGUUUAUUCUUUUGUUGAUAUCUUAUCGCUCAACAUUCAGUCUCAUAUGACAUUGCAGGUCUUGUAGUUGUGCGAUGAAAUAUUCUCUUAAGCUUGAGUGACACAUUUCUGUUAAAUACGACACCUCAAGCACUUCAUCAUUCCAUCGCACCUCAUCUUGUGUUCUUACACUGGUCUUUACUUUAUCAUAUGUAUCAUUGAUUACUUAAAUAUAGGCAAUUUGGACUCUUUUUUUCUAGAGCUUCUCACAAUACCUCUCUACACAUUAUCAUAUGUCUUCUCCAAAUCAAUGAAAGCCAUAAAGUAAAUAUGUACAUAUUACAAAGUUAUGAUUAUAAAAUAAAUAUUAAAUAAGUAGGUCGAUUAAGUUAGGCCUGUGUGAUUGUUACGUAGUUCAAUGGGACUUUUAAGAAGCCUAAGUCUGACGUGUUUGCUAAAUAGUUAAGGCAUGUGUAGGCCAAAAGGAGGCUAGGUCAUUAGCCUCCCUCUGGCCUAUUCCCACCCUAAGUGUACUUGAGGGUGCUUAUAAUUCAAAUGCUACUAGAAAUUGAUCCCUAUGAUCGAAGUUAUAUACUUUAUAACAUAGGCCUUAUCCACACAAGUAACAAGGUGGUUAGUUUUAUUAACCUGAACUUACAAUUCCUUGCAGAGAAUUUGUAAGCUGUGUCCAGAGCAUAAAGAUAUUGUCAUCUGCAGAGGUGCAACAAAUGAGCUUGGAUGGUGAUUUAGGAGGUCAUGUUCCAAUCUCCAAUCAAGCUUGUAGUGGAACAGAAAGUGGCAAUGCAUGGUAUGAUGAUAACUCAGCAGGCUCAUAUAAUAGAUAAAGAUGACAAAUAUAUUCACAUUCUUGGAGCUGUCAACUUGUAUAUUUUAAGAGAUGGAGAACUAACUUGACCCUUAAGAUAUCUAUGUUGUUCCUUCUCUAUGAUUACAAAUGCAAAGGAGAUAUACUCAUUGCAAAAGAUGUAGUUGGUGCUUCUCAUUGAACACACUGUUUUUUAUGGUGAGUGAGAAGUUUAAAUACUUAGGGUAGAUUCAUUUACUAUUUAAUGAUAUUUGAAUCUGCUAUUCUUCUGGUUGAUUGGUUAGGAUUUUGUUUUGUUUUCGAGUAAAACGUCAUUUGUGUCUAAAGAUUUGAUGGUCACCAACAUCGUCUCUCAGAGAUUUUUUUUUUUAUGUCAGCUAAAUCUCUGAGACUAACAUGACAUUCCAGAUGUAUGUCACAUUAGUCUCAAGAACAAAUGUAAUGUGGUGCCGAUUUGAUGUUUCAGGAAUUUAGUUGGUGAUAAAAAAUCUUUUGAAGGACUAAGUUGUUGAUGAUCAAGAUUCAAAUGAUAGGUUAGGGGGUGUAUAAUAUGAUCCUUCUUACAUAUAAAGAUUAUUUUUUACUUUUGUACCUUUUUGCAUUUUUGAUAGUAUAAGUGCUUCAAAUGUUGCUUCUAAAUCUAGGGGGUCUUAAAGUAUUGUAAUUUCUUUCUAGAUAUUUGUUUGUGUACCUUGGUUAUUACUUAUUAUGUACACUUGUGGCUUGUAGAGGACAAGUUUUUAUUUACUCUUACAAUACCACAAUUUAUAUCUGUAAUUUAAUAUAGGUGUAAUCAAUAAUUGAUUAUAAUAGAAUUUGUUCUUGCUUUAUAUAGUCUACUUGUGAGAGUUGAUUUGAUCUCAAAUUUCUCCUUUUAUCUUAAUAAUAUAUAUAUUUUUCAAAUGAACAAUUGCAGAGGUACUACACUAGAAACAUGAGUUCCAUCAAUGUCUUGUAUACACUUAUCUAAACUUCCAAUUUUUUGCCAAAGAAAAUUACACUUUGACUUUCUAAAAAUUAAGCCCAAUCUUUUUGUUAGUUAUCUAUUCACAAUUUUGUAAGGCUCUGCAGUAUAUAAAGUCCUAUUGUCAAACCUAUAAAGUCACAUGUCUUUAGCUAAGUGUCAUAAGCAUAGCUAGACAUAGAAUUGCACUAUGCUAAAUAGCCUUAGAAACCUUCAUCCUGUCAUUUUUGUACUACCAAGGGUAUCCUCUCACAUUUUUUAGUAAGAAAUUAAUUUUUUUCGAGGUUCAUGAUUAUCCCUUCCUCUAUUAUUUAUUUUAGAGUCUUUUAUUUCUCAUAACAUUUACCUCAUGCCAAACAACAAGAUCACAGGCGAUGAAAGAAAAUGCAUUUUUUUGUACUAUCAAGGAUAUCACUUCACCUUUUGAGUAAGAAACUAAUAUCUUUUGGGGUGCAUGGUUGCCGCUCCCAGAAAUCGAACUCUUACCCUUUUGAUCAUCUUGGGGAUCUAGCGUAGCCACACCACACAUUUGUUAAACUAAAAUUGGACAUAAUAAAUUCAAACACUAUGGUUAUAUCAAAGACAAUGCAAACUGUCCAAGAAACAGAAAUUCCAAUAAACUAUAUCUCAAUUGUCAUUACAAUGAAAAACAAUACCAUUUUUUCCCUCAAAAUGAAACAAAAAACUUUGCUAAAAAAACACAAACAAGUUGUUCCUAAGAGAGGAUAGCUAUGAUAUCUGAGGCUCUCAAAGCAAUGUAGUCAGAGCCAUCUUUGCCCUUGAAAUCAUUCCCAGCAUAUUUAGAGUACAAUACAGUGUUCCCUGGAGUAACAGAUAUAGGUGUUCUCUUACCUUCUUCAUCCAAAGGCCCUGGACCAACUGCUAUAAUCUGUAGCAUACAAAAUAGUACAAAAUGUUCAGCCAAAGCAUUGUUGAUUCACAACAAAGUAUCAAUCUUGAAAAAUGAAAUUGGACAGUGGCAAAUGUCACUUAAAUGUGGGAUAUUAUUCCUCUAAUGUGAAGAAAUAAAGGCAGAUACAACUUUGGUUUGACAAAGUGUAUAGAGACUUCAACUCAUUAAAUGAUCUAAAGAUAGGUACACCCUUAGAAUCAAAUUUACUUUAGAGAAACUUUUUCCUAAGAGUCUAUUUGCGAGUUGGGUUUUGAAUGGGAAAGAAGGGAAAAUGAAGACUUCAAGGCCAUGAAAUACACUUAUGAGAUGACUCUGAAGCUUUCAAUUUCCCUCUAAAAUCCAACUCGCAAACAGGUCCUAAGUUGUGCCUGGGCAUAUUACAAUCUGACUUUCCAAGAAAGUUUCUUUAAGUCAAUACUGUCCAUUUUUAAUAACAAAUCAAACACUACACUAGAAAACUU